ACACUCACUUUGGCAGUAUGUAUGCUAAAAUUGGAACAAUAUGGAGAUUUGCAUGGCCCUUGAGCAAGGAUGACACGGAAAUUUAUGAGUAUUCCCCCUUUCUA
rnacentral:snRNA from 1 species